UACGUAGGGUGCAAGCGUUAAUCGGAAUUACUGGGCGUAAAGCGUGCGCAGGCGGUUGUGUAAGACAGAUGUGAAAUCCCCGGGCUUAACCUGGGAAUGGCAUUGGUGACUGCACGGCUAGAGUGUGUCAGAGGGGGGUAGAAUUCCACGUGUAGCAGUGAAAUGCGUAGAGAUGUGGAGGAAUACCGAUGGCGAAGGCAGCCCCCUGGGAUAACACUGACGCUCAUGCACGAAAGCGUGGGGGAGCAAACAGG
rnacentral:rRNA from 1 species